CCUGCUCCCUCUUCCCCUUUCUCCAGCCUCAUCACAGGUGCUGCUUCCCCUUCACCCUCUGCCGUGAUUGUAAAUUUCCUGAGGCCUCCCCAGCCAUGCUUCCUGUACAGCCUGUUGGACUGCUGGAGUGCGGUGGCAUGAUCAUAGCUUACUGCAGCCUCGAACUCCUGGACUCAAGCCACCCUACUGCCUUUGGCCUCCCAAAGCGCUGAGAUUACAUGUGUAAGCCACUGUACCUAGCCACCCUUCACUUCUGAUUUUUGUCAGGUCCAUGUUACUUGUACUAUUAGAUACCAACAUUUUCUUUAAUUUGACAUAAAUUGUCCAAUUUUUAAAACAUAGUCUCAUCGUAAGCAAUGAUAUCUGUGAAAUCUGAGUUUGAGGCAGAUGUUUAAAUAUACCUUAAAAUAAAAACAACUAUAUAAAUAAAUUAAAAUCAUGAGCCACAUAAAAUAGCCUUCCACUCACUUUGGAAAAC
rnacentral:lncRNA from 1 species